rnacentral:rRNA from 1 species
AACGAACGCUGGCGGCAUGCCUAACACAUGCAAGUCGAACGAGACCUUCGGGUCUAGUGGCGCACGGGUGCGUAACGCGUGGGAACCUGCCCUUAGGUUCGGAAUACCUCCCCGAAAGGGGUCCUAAUACCGGAUAAUGUCUUCGGACCAAAGAUUUAUCGCCUUUGGAUGGGCCCGCGUUGGAUUAGCUAGUUGGUAGGGUAAAAGCCUACCAAGGCGACGAUCCAUAGCUGGUCUGAGAGGAUGAUCAGCCACACUGGGACUGAGACACGGCCCAGACUCCUACGGGAGGCAGCAGUGGGGAAUAUUGGACAAUGGGCGAAAGCCUGAUCCAGCAAUGCCGCGUAAGUGAUGAAGGCCUUAGGGUUGUAAAGCUCUUUUACCCGGGAUGAUAAUGACAGUACCGGGAGAAUAAGCUCCGGCUAACUCCGUG